AUUGAACGCUGGCGGCAUGCCUUACACAUGCAAGUCGAAACGGCAGCACGGGAGCUUGCUCCUGGUGGCGAGUGGCGAACGGGUGAGUAAUACAUCGGAACGUACCCUGAAGUGGGGGAUAACGUAGCGAAAGUUACGCUAAUACCGCAUAUUCUGUGAGCAGGAAAGAGGGGGAUCGCAAGACCUCUUGCUUUAGGAGCGGCCGAUGUCGGAUUAGCUAGUUGGUGAGGUAAAAGGCUCACCAAGGCGACGAUCCGUAGCGGGUCUGAGAGGAUGAUCGCCACACUGGGACUGAGACACGGCCCCAGGAACUCCUACGGGAGCAGCAGUGGGGAAUUUUGGGACAAAUGGGCGCAAGCCUGAU
rnacentral:rRNA from 1 species